GUCAAAUUAACUGAAAUUUUAAAGAGAUCUUCUUACAACCCAAAUAAGGUAUUUAAAAAUCCUUUUUUUUUUUUUUAUCAGAUACUGAUGAAAUGUCAGAAAAAUCUUCAAAACAGUCUACAAAUAGGAAAAACCACUAAAUGAAUUUAUGGUCACCACAAACUCGGUCAUAGGUUUAUGAUUUGUCCACCACCAAAGCUGUUUAUAGAAUUAAAGUAUGUAUUAAUUUAACUUGGACCGAAAAAUCAUUGAAUUUGAAUAAUAACAAAUAUCGAUAAAUUUUGGAUUGGUCUUUUGAAAAGCCUAAGAUGUGGUCACUUAACUUUGACUAUCUAUAAUUAAAAGUGAUCAUUGACGGAGACGAUCUCUGUUCGAGGCAGUCUCUUCACAGAGAUGGCCUAUAUUCAGGGGUGACCUCUGAUUAGGGGUGGUCUCUUUACACAUGCACUCUCCAAUCAGAGAUGGUUUCCUUACAGAGGUGAUUUCUAAUCAAAGGUGGUCUGUUUGCAUUGGUGAUCUCUUUUAAGAGGUGGUCAUUUUACUGAGGCAAUCUCUAAUCAGAGGUGGUCAUUUUACUGAGGCAAUCUCUAAUCAGAGGUGGUCAUUUUACUGAGGCAAUCUCUGAUCUGAGGUGGUCAUUUUACUGAGGCAAUCUCUAAUCAGAGGUGGUCAUUUUACUGAGGCAAUCUCUAAUCAGAGGUGGUCAUUUUACUGAGGCAAUCUCUAAUCAGAGGUGGUCAUUUUACUGAGGCAAUCUCUGAUCUGAGGUGGUCAUUUUACUGAGGCAAUCUCUGAUCUGAGGUGGUCAUUUUACUGAGGCAAUCUCUAAUCAGAGGUGGUCAUUUUACUGAGGCAAUCUCUAAUCAGAGGUGGUCAUUUUACUGAGGCAAUCUCUAAUCUGAGGUGGUCAUUUUACUGAGGCAAUCUGAUCUGAGGUGGUCAUUUUACUGAGGCAAUCUUUAAUCUGAGGUGGUCAUUUUACUGAGGCAAUCUCUGAUCUGAGGUGGUCAUUUUACUGAGGCAAUCUCUGAUCAGAGGUGGUCAUUUUACUGAGGCAAUCUCUAAUCAGAGGUGGUCAUUUUACUGAGGCAAUCUCUGAUCAGAGGUGGUCAUUUUACUGAGGCAAUCUCUAAUCAGAGGUGGUCAUUUUACUGAGGAAAUCUCUAAUCUGAGGUGGUCAUUUUACUGAGGCAAUCUCUGAUCUGAGGUGGUCAUUUUACUGAGGCAAUCUCUAAUCUGAGGUGGUCAUUUUACUGAGGCAAUCUCUGAUCUGAGGUGGUCAUUUUACUGAGGCAAUCUCUGAUCUGAGGUGGUCAUUUUACUGAGGCAAUCUCUAAUCUGAGGUGGUCAUUUUACUGAGGCAAUCUCUGAUCUGAGGUGGUCAUUUUACUGAGGCAAUCUCUGAUCUGAGGUGGUCUCUUUACAAUGGUGAUCUCUAAUGAGAGGUGGUCACUUCACAAAGGUGAUCUCUAAUGAGAGGUGGUCUCUUAAAACUAAUAAUGAUAAUUUAGAGUUUUAUUUAUAUCAGAGCAACAUAGUCAUCUCGAAACAGUUCACAAAUUGUUAUCUGUGGUUAUUAGGCCUUAAUAACUAAUGUCUGUACCAACUACUUUGGGCCCACCACUGGAGAUGUCAUUUCAAUGCUAUGACAACUUAUACACAUUCUCAUUUACAGCUGUGUUUACUGGAGAAAAGGAAACAACACAGCUCCCUUGCCAGGACCACUCGGUCACGUAGCCCUACAUCCUACCACUAGACCACUGUGCCUCCUGUGACAAUCUCUAAUCAGAAAUGGCCUCUUUACAGAGGCGAUCUCUAAUCGGAGACAAUUGCUUAUGAGCGACUUCACAGGUUGGAUCUUAUUACAUUACAGAAGCCUUUACAGAGUGUUAUUGAACUACUCUUUAGAAAUGAGAUUAAGGACUGUCUUCAUUUGCCGAAAUAAUUAUCAACAUUCAUAUUUUGUGUUGUCCAUAUUGAUUACUUAAUAAAUUUGCCUGUUGAAUAUAAUGUAUAUCCUUGAUGAAUCAUGUUUUUGUUGAAUGUAGAAAUGUAACAUAUUGAGUGAUUGAUGAUGGUUUCAAUCUCUUGUCCCGAGUAACAAACAAUCUGGCAUAUUAUAGGUUGAGAAAUAAUACUGGGAAAUGUGUAAUAAAUUAUGUUUGAUAAUCAUA